AGACACACCGGACGCCCCCUUAGUUCUCCUCGCCUCAUCACCUACCUUCCCCUAUCCUCUCCCCACUGCUCCCUAUUCCAUGGUGGCCACAAGCCCACAACUCUCUCUCUCUCUCCUCAAGCCGCCCCUCCUCUUCGUCCCCACCGCCGGCGCGAGGUCUCGCACUCUUCCCACUCUUCUCAGCCCAUCCUCGUCGAAUCGGUCGCCGAAGUGCCCGAGGAUCCGCUCAAGCUCGGUCUGGUUGCUGGGCGCCGGAUGAAGGCUGACGCGGAGGCGCGGGAAUUGCCUCCACCAGAUCGGCGGCUGUGGCAAUCAUGUGUCGCAACCUCCGCGCCUGGUGCCUUCCUUUCCAUCUCGCUCGUCGGCGGCUCCCACCACCCUGUGCGUGCGACCGCGCUGCGCCCUGUAAUGCCCAUGUGCGGCAGCUGUGCCGCGGUGGAUGGUCCCUUGCAAGUGCAAGCCGGUGCCGGCUUACAAGAAAUGAAUAUUGAAGACCAUCUAAGAGUCAGGGAAUUUGUUCGAUCCUAAAUUUUUGGGACUCUGAAAUAAACACAAAGAUGGGAAUGGGGAGGCAUACCUGCCUGCCAUAUACAUCAACCCGAAGCUUUUGAGCAUUGUACAGAAUAAGUAAUUGACAGGUUUACUUCAUGAUAGUCUAGGAUUUGGUUUGGCCAAAAUGAUCAAGUACUUACUACAUAAUUUCUGAAUUUACCAAUUAUUUUUUGAAUGCAUCAGUUAGACAACGGUGAUACAUCAGAGCGCCUCUUUAAUAGAAACGACUUAAUUUUGGAGGAGGACUACCCCGUUCCCAAAUCCUAGCUCCGCCGUUGAUGAAACCUGAAUUUACUUUAGUAGAUCUUCUCUUGUAAAAUCCAAACUGUUUCCGAGCCUAUAUGUUUUGUUUCAUAUUGUUGUUUAUCAUGCAAUACUUAUCCUGCAGCCAUCUGAUAUGCAAAUUUGAUAAUAGAAGAUGACCAAAUUUGUGGACAGGAAAAUGCAUAUUCUUGGAUUGGGUUUUCUUCUCCACUCUAUUGGACCAAGUUACAAAUAGAUCAUACUUACUGGGUUUUAUUCAUUCAGUCACACAGAUUCGAGCACUAUACUGUUAAAACAAUAUGAUGGAGGGCUCCAGUUUGAUGCACUGUUAAAAUUCAUGUUCAAGUCAUAGGAGGUAGAUCUAUUAUGGUUUGUACAAAAUUGAUACAUUCGUCAUCACACUAUUGUAAAUAUGCAAAUUUGAGAGUGAAGAGCAUUGUUAUAAAGAUGCAAAUUUGACAGGGAUUAGGGGAGCAAUGAAGUAUGCACAUAUAUGUUAAAUAGAAUUUCCUUUAAAAUCAGGAACUGAUCGGCCCUAUCACAUUAACCCAAUUGAAUAUCCUGUAAAAUUAUACCAUGUUCCUUUGGUGCAGGCAGGUGCGUUGCCUGAGGAGUUCGUCGGCGUCGAUGUCGGGGCCUGUGGCUGGGCGGCGAUGGCCAACAGUGGCUGGGCGGCGAGGGCACAACAGUGGCUUGGCGGCACCGACGUCUGACUGUAGUGUGCAUCUAAACGGCGACAUGAAAGAAGACAUCGAGAUUAACUGGGAUGGAACUGGCCAAGUAUUGCGCACAAGAGGAUAGUCUGCACCUGCAUUGGCGAGAAGCGCGUCGUAGCGGGCGUCGUCCGCUACGCAUGGCGGCGAUGGCGCAGGGCUGGGCGGCUGCGACGUACGUCCGGGUGGGCUGAUUCCCGUAAGUUUAGAAAUUUGUUGUGAGGCAGACGUGUUAAUUCCCAUUAAUUGUGGCUAAUUUUCUGUAGUUGAUUGGACGCGAACGCAAAGGGUGGAACUGUUUUUUUUUUCGGGGGAGGUGCAACUGUUUGAUCGAUGGCAGAGUUUCGUCCGCUCAUGUAAAUCGCUAAACGUACACAGGGGAGGUCUGACUUUUAUGUGGACGGUUAGAUGCCUGAUCCUGGGGAUGGUAAUUUGUCUUGUUUGGCCUGUGUACGUUUAACCGGGUGGACAUAGUGGAGAAUAUGUUUGCUUGUUUAA